GAUUAACGCUGGCGGCGUGCAUAACACAUGCAAGUCGAACGAUGAAACUUAAAUGAUUUCUUCGGAAUGAACUUAAGUGGAUUAGUGGCGGACGGGUGAGUAACGCGUGAGUAACCUGCCUUACACAAGGGGAUAGCCGUUGGAAACGACGAAUAAUACCCUAUGAAACUAUCACUUCGCAUGCAGCGAUAGUCAAAGUGUUAGCGGUGUAAGAUGGACUUGCGUCUGAUUAGCUAGUUGGUGAGAAAAAAGCCCACCAAGGCAACGAUCAGUAGCCGGCUUGAGAGAGUGUACGGCCACAUUGGGACUGGGGCACGGCCCAGACUCCUACGGGAGGCAGCAGUGGGGAAUUUUGCACAAUGGGGGAAACCCUGAUGCAGCGACGCCGCGUGAUUUAGAAGGCCUUCGGGUUGUAAAAUUCUUUUGUAUAGGAAGAAAAUGACAUUACUAUACGAAUAAGGUCCGGCUAAUUACGUG
rnacentral:rRNA from 1 species